CAACAGGGAUUGCCCCAGUAACGGCGAGUGAAGCGGCAACAGCUCAAAUUUGAAAUCUGGCCCCCCGGCCCGAGUUGUAAUUUGGAGAGGAUGCUUUUGGCGCGGCGCCGUCCGAGUUCCUUGGAACAGGACGCCACAGAGGGUGAGAGCCCCGUACGGACGGACGCCUAGCCUAUACAAAGCUCCUUCGACGAGUCGAGUAGUUUGGGAAUGCUGCUCAAAAUGGGAGGUAAAUUUCUUCUAAAGCUAAAUACCGGCCAGAGACCGAUAGCGCACAAGUAGAGUGAUCGAAAGAUGAAAAGCACUUUGAAAAGAGGGUUAAAAAGUACGUGAAAUUGUUGAAAGGGGAAG
rnacentral:rRNA from 1 species